GAGGGAGGGGGUCUUGCCUCAUUUCUGUCAGGUGGGGGUGAAAGUCCAGGUGCCAUUGGCCCUUGAGGAGGCGGGGCUCCUUGUUAGUGCCAGGUGGGUGGGAGUGGGAAUCCGUGCUCCCACUAGGCCUCUAUUGGUAGCACCCAGGCUGGGAGAGAGGCAUCUUGCUAGUGUUCCUCAAGUAAUCUUCACUGCCAACAAGGAGGGGAGGGAGCGGACGGCAAUUGAGACAUCUGACUUCCCCUUGACUUCCUCUAACACUGGCAGAUGUUCAGACGUGUCCAGAGUUUCUUCCUUCUGAUGGGUUCGUCAUCUCGCUGACUUCAGGAGUAAAGCCGCAGACCUUCGCAGUGAACAUUACAGCUCUUAAAAGUGGCGUGUCCAGAGUUAUUUGUUCCUCCUGGUGGGUUCGUGGUCUCGCUGACUUCAGGAGUGAAGCCACAGACCUCCGCGGCAUUUUGGGAGUCCCUGCUGUGUGCUGGGAAUCAUAUUAGAUACCAGAGAUGAGUACAAGAUACAGUUCCUACAGUUCCUGCAAUUUAGGAGCUUGACAUGGAGACAUCCCCAUCCCAAUCCAUGGCCCCUCUUCAGAUGUUCAGAUUUCUGGCCACACGACAUUCUAUUCAAUGACCAUGCAGCCUGGUGUCACUCGCUGCCCCUGCUCUGCACCCGCCUGCCACCAGAUAUCAGGUGAGUCGGCUUGAUCCAGGGAGCAAUUGUAACUGUGGCUGAUUGUUAUUAAUGACACAGUAUUGAGCUAUUCAAGUUCAAACUCCCUAAAAUUAUUUCAUGAAACUGGGGCAUUAUGACAAAAGAAAAAUGGUGAGAAUGAAUCUCCAUGUGUGCCUGCCUCACAUGUGAGACUCAGGUAGCUCUCGAGGGCCGGGCGUGGGUUGGUUGCGUAUGUGGG
rnacentral:lncRNA from 10 species